rnacentral:rRNA from 1 species
GACGAACGCUGGCGGCGUGCUUAACACAUGCAAGUCGAACGGAAAGGCCCUGCUUUUGUGGGGUGCUCGAGUGGCGAACGGGUGAGUAACACGUGAGUAACCUGCCCUUGACUUUGGGAUAACUUCAGGAAACUGGGGCUAAUACCGGAUAGGAGCUCCUGCUGCAUGGUGGGGGUUGGAAAGUUUCGGCGGUUGGGGAUGGACUCGCGGCUUAUCAGCUUGUUGGUGGGGUAGUGGCUUACCAAGGCUUUGACGGGUAGCCGGCCUGAGAGGGUGACCGGCCACAUUGGGACUGAGAUACGGCCCAGACUCCUACGAGAGGCAGCAGUGGGGAAUAUUGCACAAUGGGCGGAAGCCUGAUGCAGCAACGCCGCGUGCGGGAUGACGGCCUUCGGGUUGUAACCCGCUUUCGCCUGUGACGAAGCGUGAGUGACGGUAAUGGGUAAAGAAGCACCGGCUAACUACGUG